UACAGAGGUCUCAAGCGUUGUUCGGAUUCAUUGGGCGUAAAGGGUGCGUAGGCGGCGCGGUAAGUCGGGUGUGAAAUCUCGGAGCUUAACUCCGAAACUGCAUUCGAUACUGCCGUGCUUGAGGACUGGAGAGGAGAGUGGAAUUCCCGGUGUAGCGGUGAAAUGCGCAGAUAUCGGGAGGAACACCGGUGGCGAAGGCGGUUCUCUGGGCCUGACCUGACGCUGAGGAGCGAAAGCGUGGGGAGCGAACAGG
rnacentral:rRNA from 1 species